AGAGUUUGAUCCUGGCUCAGGAUGAACGCUAGCUACAGGCUUAACACAUGCAAGUCGAGGGGCAGCAUUUUAGUUUGCUUGCAAACUGAAGAUGGCGACCGGCGCACGGGUGAGUAACACGUAUCCAACCUGCCGAUAACUCCGGAAUAGCCUUUCGAAAGAAAGAUUAAUACCGGAUAGUAUACGAAUAUCGCAUGAUAUUUUUAUUAAAGAAUUUCGGUUAUCGAUGGGGAUGCGUUCCAUUAGUUUGUUGGCGGGGUAACGGCCCACCAAGACUACGAUGGAUAGGGGUUCUGAGAGGAAGGUCCCCCACAUUGGAACUGAGACACGGUCCAAACUCCUACGGGAGGCAGCAGUGAGGAAUAUUGGUCAAUGGACGAGAGUCUGAACCAGCCAAGUAGCGUGAAGGAUGACUGCCCUAUGGGUUGUAAACUUCUUUUAUAAAGGAAUAAAGUCGGGUAUGGAUACCCGUUUGCAUGUACUUUAUGAAUAAGGAUCGGCUAACUCCGUGCCAGCAGCCGCGGUAAUACGGAGGAUCCGAGCGUUAUCCGGAUUUAUUGGGUUUAAAGGGAGCGUAGAUGGAUGUUUAAGUCAGUUGUGAAAGUUUGCGGCUCAACCGUAAAAUUGCAGUUGAUACUGGAUAUCUUGAGUGCAGUUGAGGCAGGCGGAAUUCGUGGUGUAGCGGUGAAAUGCUUAGAUAUCACGAAGAACUCCGAUUGCGAAGGCAGCCUGCUAAGCUGCAACUGACAUUGAGGCUCGAAAGUGUGGGUAUCAAACAGGAUUAGAUACCCUGGUAGUCCACACGGUAAACGAUGAAUACUCGCUGUUUGCGAUAUACUGCAAGCGGCCAAGCGAAAGCGUUAAGUAUUCCACCUGGGGAGUACGCCGGCAACGGUGAAACUCAAAGGAAUUGACGGGGGCCCGCACAAGCGGAGGAACAUGUGGUUUAAUUCGAUGAUACGCGAGGAACCUUACCCGGGCUUAAAUUGCAGAUGAAUUACGGUGAAAGCCGUAAGCCGCAAGGCAUCUGUGAAGGUGCUGCAUGGUUGUCGUCAGCUCGUGCCGUGAGGUGUCGGCUUAAGUGCCAUAACGAGCGCAACCCUUGUUGUCAGUUACUAACAGGUUCCGCUGAGGACUCUGACAAGACUGCCAUCGUAAGAUGUGAGGAAGGUGGGGAUGACGUCAAAUCAGCACGGCCCUUACGUCCGGGGCUACACACGUGUUACAAUGGGGGGUACAGAGGGCCGCUACCACGCGAGUGGAUGCCAAUCCCCAAAACCUCUCUCAGUUCGGACUGGAGUCUGCAACCCGACUCCACGAAGCUGGAUUCGCUAGUAAUCGCGCAUCAGCCACGGCGCGGUGAAUACGUUCCCGGGCCUUGUACACACCGCCCGUCAAGCCAUGGGAGCCGGGGGUACCUGAAGUGCGUAACCGCGAGGAGCGCCCUAGGGUAAAACUGGUGACUGGGGCUAAGUCGUAACAAGGUAGCCGUACCGGAAGGUGCGGCUG
rnacentral:rRNA from 1 species